UACAGAGGUUUCAAGCGUUGUUCGGAUUCAUUGGGCGUAAAGGGUGUGUAGGUGGCGCGCUAAGUCGGGUGUGAAAUUUCGGAGCUUAACUCCGAAACUGCAUUCGAUACUGGCGUGCUUGAGGACUGGAGAGGAGACUGGAAUUUACGGUGUAGCAGUGAAAUGCGUAGAUAUCGUAAGGAAGACCAGUGGCGAAGGCGGGUCUCUGGACAGUUCCUGACACUGAGACACGAAGGCCAGGGGAGCAAACGGG
rnacentral:rRNA from 1 species